rnacentral:rRNA from 1 species
AUACGGAGGAUCCGAGCGUUAUCCGGAUUUAUUGGGAUUAAAGGGUGCGCAGGCGGCCAUUUAAGUCAGCGGUUAAAUCGUGGGGCUCAACCCCAUUCUGCCGUUGAUACUGGGUGGCUUGAUUGCGGUCGAGGUUGGCGGAAUUCGUUGUGUAGCGGUGAAAUGCAUAGAUAUGACGAAGAACACCGAUUGCGUAGGCAGCUGACCAGACCGCAAAUGACGCUCAUGCACGAAAGUGCGGGGAUCGAACAGGAUUAGAUACCCUGGUAGUCCGCACAGUAAACGAUGAAUACUUGUUUUCGGCGAUAUAAUGUCGGAGGCAAAGCGAAAGCGAUAAGUAUUCCACCUGGGGAGUACGCCGGCAACGGUGAAACUCAAAUGAAUUGACGGGG